rnacentral:rRNA from 1 species
AGGACGAACGCUGGCGGCGUGCUUAACACAUGCAAGUCGAACGGGGAGUAAUUGGGAUGAGAGCUUCGGCAGGAUUCCCGAUUAUUCGAGUGGCGGACGGGUGAGUAACGCGUGAACAAUCUGUCCCGGACAGGGGAAUAACACUUGGAAACAGGUGCUAAUACCGCAUAAGACCACGGUGUCGCAUGGCACAGGGGUAAAAGGAGCGAUCCGGUUCGGGGUGAGUUCGCGUCCGAUUAGAUAGUUGGUGAGGUAACGGCCCACCAAGUCGACGAUCGGUAGCCGACCUGAGAGGGUGAACGGCCACAUUGGAACUGAGAGACGGUCCAAACUCCUACGGGAGGCAGCAGUGGGGAAUAUUGGGCAAUGGGCGCAAGCCUGACCCAGCAACGCCGCGUGAGUGAAGAAGGCCUUCGGGUUGUAAAGCUCUGUUAUGUGGGACGAAGGAAGUGACGGUACCACAUAAGGAAGCCCCGGCUAACUACGUGCCAGCCGCCGC